CUCUCAGUAGCUCAAUUGGUUAGAGUACGGGCUUUGGGAGCUCGGGGUUCCUCGUUCGAGUCGAGGCUGGGAGACCA
rnacentral:tRNA from 1 species